rnacentral:rRNA from 1 species
GAUGAACGCUGGCUACAGGCUUAACACAUGCAAGUCGAGGGGAAACGACGGGGAAGCUUGCUUCCCCGGGCGUCGACCGGCGCACGGGUGAGUAACGCGUAUCCAACCUGCCUCUGACUGAGGGAUAACCCGUCGAAAGUCGGCCUAAUACCUCAUGGCAUCGUCUGCGGGCAUCCAACGACGAUUAAAGAUUUCAUCGGUCAGGGAUGGGGAUGCGUCUGAUUAGUUAGUUGGUGGGGUAACGGCCCACCAAGGCGACGAUCAGUAGGGGUUCUGAGAGGAAGGUCCCCCACAUUGGAACUGAGACACGGUCCAAACUCCUACGGGAGGCAGCAGUGAGGAAUAUUGGUCAAUGGGCGAGAGCCUGAACCAGCCAAGUAGCGUGCAGGAUGACGGCCCUAUGGGUUGUAAACUGCUUUUAUGCGGGGAUAAAGUGAGGGACGUGUCCUUCAUUGCAGGUACCGCAUGAAUAAGGACCGGCUAAUUCCGUGCCAGCAGCCGCGGUAAUACGGAAGGUCCGGGCGUUAUCCGGAUUUAUUGGGUUUAAAGGGAGCGUAGGCCGUGGAUUAAGCGUGUUGUGAAAUGCAGGUGCUCAACGUCUGCACUGCAGCGCGAACUGGUUCACUUGAGUGUGCACAACGCAGGCGGAAUUCGUCGUGUAGCGGUGAAAUGCUUAGAUAUGACGAAGAACUCCGAUUGCGAAGGCAGCUUGCGGGAGCACAACUGACGCUGAAGCUCGAAAGUGCGGGUAUCGAACAGG